AGUGAACGCUGGCGGCGUGCCUAAUACAUGCAAGUCGAACGAAGUGGCGCACGGGUGAGUAAUAUAUAGUUAAUCUGCCCUACACAGAGGAACAACAGUUGGAAACGACUGCUAAUACCUCAUAGUGUAGGAUGAGACUAUAUCGUAUCAGCUAGUUGGUACGGUAAUGGCUUACCAAGGCUAUGACGCGUAACUGGUCUGAGAGGAUGAUCAGACACAUUGGAACUGAGAGACGAGCCAAAAUCCGACGGGAGGCAGCAGUAAGGAAUAUUGCGCAAUGGGGGAAACCCAGACGCAGCAACGCCGCGUGCGUGAUGACGGCCUUCGGGUUGAAAACCGCUUUCAGCGAUGACGCGGUAGUGGCAGAAAAAGCAAUGGCUAACUACGUGCCAGCAGCCGCGGUAAUAC
rnacentral:rRNA from 1 species